UAGGGAAUAUUUGUAAUGUGCGAAAGCGCGAACCAGCAACGCCGCGUGCACGAUGAAGGCCUUCGGGUUGUAAAGUGCUUUUAGAGAGGAUGAGGAAGGACAGUACUUUCUGAAUAAGCCUCGGCUAACUACGUGCCAGCAGCCGCGGUAAAACGUAGGAGGCUAGCGUUAUCCGGAUUUACUGGGCGUAAAGCGCGUGCAGGUGGUUUCGUAAGUUGGAUGUGAAAGCUCCUGGCUUAACUGGGAGAGGUCGUUCAAAACUGCGAGGCUUGAGAGUGGUAGAGGGAGGUGGAAUUCCGGGUGUAGUGGUGAAAUGCGUAGAUAUCCGGAGGAACACCAGUGGCGAAAGCGGCCUCCUGGACCAUUUCUGACACUCAGACGCGAAAGCUAAGGUAGCAAACG
rnacentral:rRNA from 1 species